rnacentral:rRNA from 1 species
CAAUUGGGCAAGUCGAGCGGAGAUGAGGUGCUUGCACCUUAUCUUAGCGGCGGACGGGUGAGUAAUGCUUAGGAAUCUGCCUAUUAGUGGGGGACAACAUUCCGAAAGGAAUGCUAAUACCGCAUACGUCCUACGGGAGAAAGCAGGGGAUCUUCGGACCUUGCGCUAAUAGAUGAGCCUAAGUCGGAUUAGCUAGUUGGUGGGGUAAAGGCCUACCAAGGCGACGAUCUGUAGCGGGUCUGAGAGGAUGAUCCGCCACACUGGGACUGAGACACGGCCCAGACUCCUACGGGAGGCAGCAGUGGGGAAUAUUGGACAAUGGGGGAAACCCUGAUCCAGCCAUGCCGCGUGUGUGAAGAAGGCCUUAUGGUUGUAAAGCACUUUAAGCGAGGAGGAGGCUACUGAGACUAAUACUCUUGGAUAGUGGACGUUACUCGCAGAAUAAGCACCGGCUAACUCUGUGCCAGCAGCCGCGGUAAUACAGAGGGUGCGAGCGUUAAUCGGAUUUACUGGGCGUAAAGCGUGCGUAGGCGGCUUUUUAAGUCGGAUGUGAAAUCCCCGAGCUUAACUUGGGAAUUGCAUUCGAUACUGGGAAGCUAGAGUAUGGGAGAGGAUGGUAGAAUUCCAGGUGUAGCGGUGAAAUGCGUAGAGAUCUGGAGGAAUACCGAUGGCGAAGGCAGCCAUCUGGCCUAAUACUGACGCUGAGGUACGAAAGCAUGGGGAGCAAACAGGAUUAGAUACCCUGGUAGUCCAUGCCGUAAACGAUGUCUACUAGCCGUUGGGGCCUUUGAGGCUUUAGUGGCGCAGCUAACGCGAUAAGUAGACCGCCUGGGGAGUACGGUCGCAAGACUAAAACUCAAAUGAAUUGACGGGGGCCCGCACAAGCGGUGGAGCAUGUGGUUUAAUUCGAUGCAUCGCGAAGAACCUUACCUGGCCUUGACAUACUAGAA